rnacentral:rRNA from 1 species
UACAGAGGGCUCAAGCGUUGUUCGGAUUCACUGGGCGUAAAGGGUGCGUAGGCGGCGAUGCAAGUCAGGGGUGAAAUCUCGGGGCUCAACUCCGAAACUGCACUUGAUACUGCCUUGCUCGAGUACUGGAGAGGAGAUUGGAAUUUACGGUGUAGCAGUGAAAUGCGUAGAUAUCGUAAGGAAGACCAGUGGCGAAGGCGACUCUCUGGACAGUUACUGACACUGAGGCACGAAGGCCAGGGGAGCAAACAGG